UGCCAAAUAGCCAUCGCUGACCGAUGGGACCAUAACCUAUACGAUGAACACAACAUAUGGGUCCAUCGCAAAUCUGACAGGCAAUGUUGGAUUCAAUCUGACAGGCGACGCGAAUUCAGCAUGUACUAUCAACGGCGUCUGGAACUCUACUGAGCAUAGAUGUAUUCCUAUAGAUUGUGGGCAUCCGCCUUCAAUAAAUAAUGGAACGGUUUAUGCCAGUAAAACCACAUUUGCAUCUGUGGCAAGAUUUAUAUGCGAGGAAGGAUACAAAGUUAAUGGCAGCAAUGUGUCAGUUUGUUUAAGCAAUGGCGUUUGGAAUAACACGGACCAAGAAUGUCACAUCAUCGACUGUGGUUUAUUACCAGCGUUAAAACACGGGACUGUUUGGUAUGCGGAACAUAAAACAUAACAACAUAUAAGUCUAUUGCAAGUCUCGAAUGUAACAAAGGAUAUUAUCAUGAAGGCAGGAAUUAUUCAGAAUGCACCAGCAGUGGCAAUUGGGACAUGUAUGGGUACCAGGAUUGUGUUCCCUUAGGUGAGUUAUUUUAACCCAU